ACGGACAGGGAGAAAGCUCGAUGACAUACUUGAGCCAGUCCUGGGAGGGUCAUGUGGUGGUGGAAGUGUUAAACUGCUGAGGCUCAUGACCUCUGAUGGCCUGGUUCUCAGCUUGAGCCUCCUGCCUACCUGGGAUGAUAUCCACAACUCAUGAGAGCACUCUUCAUGACCAAAGAGCAAGAGAGGAUAAUGCAGGAAGCCAGAAAGAACGUCCCUCAGACACAGGGGCACCGUUCAUUGACCAGGCUGUCAUUGACAGCAGGUUUUCCCUGACUAGACCUGACUGGGACUUUAAUACAGCAGGAGGUGAGGAGCACCUGAAGAUCUACCACCAGACUCAAGGGGGCCACACAACGAUCCACCAAUUUGACCAAGCUCCCAUGUUGUGCCUGUCCAUCAAACCUGGACUGUGGUUUCCACUGGAACUGGAGAUGAGUUUGCCUCCGUGAUGGACUCCAAACCCUUCAACACCUGGUGGCCUGACUUCACUUUCAACCUGUGCCAGCAGGCAGCAGGACUUGACUCAUGAGACAUUCCCAUCCAUGAUACCACCUGCAGGAGACCCCCAUUUACGUUUGCCCUCGAGAUGGAAGAAGCCGGGCAGAAGUUCACCAAUGCGGGGGUCCAGA
rnacentral:lncRNA from 1 species